AUUGAACGCUGGCGGCAUGCUUUACACAUGCAAGUCGGACGGCAGCACAGAGAAGCUUGCUUCUUGGGUGGCGAGUGGCGAACGGGUGAGUAAUAUAUCGGAACGUACCGAGUAAUGGGGGAUAACUAAUCGAAAGAUUAGCUAAUACCGCAUAUUCUCUGAGGAGGAAAGCAGGGGACCUUCGGGCCUUGCGUUAUUCGAGCGGCCGAUAUCUGAUUAGCUAGUUGGUGGGGUAAAGGCCUACCAAGGCGACGAUCAGUAGCGGGUCUGAGAGGAUGAUCCGCCACACUGGGACUGAGACACGGCCCAGACUCCUACGGGAGGCAGCAGUGGGGAAUUUUGGACAAUGGGCGCAAGCCUGAUCCAGCCAUGCCGCGUGUCUGAAGAGGGCCUUCGGGUCGUAAAGGACUUUUGUCAGGGAAGAAAAGGCUGUUGCUAAUACCGACAGCUGAUGACGGUACCUGAAGAAUAAGCACCGGCUAACUACGUG
rnacentral:rRNA from 1 species